AGAGUCCUUGAAGGAAUCCUCCGUUACCUUUCCAGCACACUUGGAGAAACGUACUGCGUUCCAACGUCUCCCAUCACUGAGAAGGCACAGCAUCAGAACAAGCCUACAACGCCAUCUACUGGACACAACAUAUUCCCCCUUUUGUGAGAAGAAAUGCUACAACUUCCACAAUAACCACAUAGUCCUUCAACCAUAUCGGACUCCUCUUCAUCCUCACACUCCUUGGGCAUUUAUUUGGAUCUGCUAGAGAGUCCUUGAAGGAAUCCUCCGUUACCUUUCCAGCACACUUGGAGAAACGUACUGCGUUCCAACGUCUCCCAUCACUGAGAAGGUAAGUACUUGCUCCUGUUUGUUUAUUCACUGUGAGAGGUUGUGAGAAUUUUGAGUCUGGUUUCUUUACAAGGAAUGGUUUUCUCACUCGCACUU